CUGCCUCUACCUCCAUUUACAAAGUAAUCCUUUCUCUUUUGUUUUGUUCACACAGAGCUCAAGUCUCACAAUGAUCAGAUGGAGGCUGUCUAUGAUCAUUUUGCUGACUCUGGAUCAUCAGAACCUGAAAUAAAUGUUCUAAUUGGUUGUGUCACCGCUGUAACAGAGGGUAUUGUCUACAUUAAUAAAGAAACUUCCUUCCGCCUAGAUACUGUUUGUGAAGGUUUUGUGCCUUACAAGGGUGACUGGUUGGAGGUUGUGUAUUCCACAGAGCCAGGCAUAUCGCACAUCAAGGCAUACUCAGUGAAGUCCAUGAACUCUAGGCAUGUGGAUGAGGUCAGCAUUACUAGUGUCCAUGGAAGACAUGGGGUGAUAGACAACAAAAUCUUUUUCACCUUGGAUUCACUGAAACUCCCUGCUGGUUAUGUACCUCAACGAUAUGAUGUCGUCAACGUGGUCGUAGUGGAGAGUACUCAGUCCUGCUAUUUGUGGAGGGCAGUUUCUAUGACCCUAGCUCACAGGUGUUAAUAACCCAGCCUUUCAUUUUCUGUUCAUCCUUACUUCUAUGGGCAGUCAACUGCCUGGUCCAGUGGAAAAGCUUUGCUUAGUGAGCUUAAACAAUAUGUUAAAUAUAAAUUUUCUCGUAAACACACUAGGUAGUUCCCUUGGGAGAAUGAGCCAACUCUAGGGAAGGACCUUAUUAAUUCAAAAACAUGCUAAAGCUGGCUCUUGAUUGUAAGAAAAAAACACACUGCCAUUCAGUUAAAUUCCUUCUUUUCCCUGUCCAGAAGCAGACUAUAUGCUGGCGGGGACCUGUUAAGGCUCUCAAGUAAGGUGCAGAGUUGGAAGGCUUAAGAGGUGGUGGGGCCAGCAUGGUAAUGGGCAGAAUCGCCUACCCUUCAAGUGUCGGUCCCGCUUAUGCUUUCUGUCCAAUUUUCAUUUGUCCAUGCCAUUGUUCCUCUCCGCCUACUUAUUCAAGUUUAUUAAAUUAGUGGUUCCUUAUGUCCCUUCUUCUCCAUGCUAGACUGUAAGCUCCAUAACAAUCGGGUAUAUUCUUUUUCAUUAACUCAUUGAUAAGCACUUAGAAGAACACCUGUUAUAUACGAGGGCAGAGUUAAUGUUGUUAAGUUCAAUAAAUCCAUUAUCCGAGCAGCACUAAUGUCUACCAGUGGUUAAUUCAUCGUUCAAUCCAUCAGAAUAAAAUUGUUUAGCAUCAUAUUACACUUCAUUUGGUUGUAUAAAAGAAAACGUUGCUGUG
rnacentral:lncRNA from 1 species